rnacentral:snRNA from 1 species
AUGUCUUUUGAUGUAGUGAACAUCU